rnacentral:rRNA from 1 species
UACGUAGGGGGCUAGCGUUGUCCGGAAUCAUUGGGCGUAAAGAGCGCGUAGGCGGCCAGAUAAGUCCGGUGUGAAAGUCAAAGGCUCAACCUUUGAAUGCCGCUGGAAACUGUCUGGCUAGAGUCCGGGGAGGGGCGAGUGGAAUUCCUGGUGUAGCGGUGAAAUGCGCAGAUAUCAGGAAGAACACCCGUGGCGAAGGCGGUUCUCUGGAACGCAACUGACGCUGAGACGCGAAAGCGUGGGGAGCAAACAGG